rnacentral:rRNA from 1 species
AGCGCGCGUAGGCGGUUAAACAAGUCAUAUGUGAAAGCCCCGGGCUCAACCUGGGAACUGCAUUUGAAACUGUUUAGCUAGAGUGUGGUAGAGGAGAGUGGAAUUUCAGGUGUAGCGGUGAAAUGCGUAGAUAUCUGAAGGAACACCAGUGGCGAAGGCGGCUCUCUGGACCAACACUGACGCUGAGGUGCGAAAGCGUGGGUAGCAAACGGGAUUAGAUACCCCGGUAGUCCACGCCGUAAACGAUGUCAACUAACUGUUGGGCGGGUUUCCGCUUAGUGGUGCAGCUAACGCAAUAAGUUGACCGCCUGGGGAGUACGGCCGCAAGGCUAAAACUCAAAUGAAUUGACGGGGGCCCGCACAAGCGGUGGAGCAUGUGGUUUAAUUCGAUGCAACGCGAAGAACCUUACCUA